GAUGAACGCUGGCGGCGUGCCUACUACAUGCAAGUCGAGCGAAGAGGGGACGGGUGAGUAACACGUGGAUAACCUCCUAUAAGACUGGGAUAACUUCGGGAAACCGGAGCUAAACCGGAUACUUAUACAUGGAUCCGCGCUGCAUUAGCUAGUUGGUAAGGUAACGGUGUACCAAGGCAACGACGCAUAGCCGACCGGAGAGGUGGAUCGUCCACACUGGACCUUGGACACGGUCCAGACUCUUACGGUAGGCAGAAGUGGGGAAUCUACCGCAAUGGGCGAAAGCCUGACGGAGCAACGCCGCGUGAGUGAUGAAGGUCUUCGGAUCGUAAAACUCUGUUAUUAGGGAAGCGGUACCUAAUCAGAAAGCCACGGCUAACUACGUGCCAGCCGCCGCGGUAAUAC
rnacentral:rRNA from 1 species